rnacentral:lncRNA from 1 species
UAUUUUAUCCAUUGCUUCACUAAGUAAGAUGUAGUGGGCUUGGUCUCUAAGUCCUGUGGCCUCACCUAACAGUUAUUGACACAUUCUUUAGUUAAGUCAGACCCAUCAUUUACUAGCAGACGUAAAGCCGUCAUUGGGACCCUCACCUAACAGUUAUUGGGCCCAACCCCAUCUCUACCCCGAGACAUCAAAUGUCAAUAGAGUGGUUGUACCUUCCUGAUGCAAUCGAACCACUGUAACCAACCGAGAAUGAUCAACGCC